UUUAAUCUUCUUCACGUUCUUUUCUUUACAGUUCACAACGAAGGAGAAAACCACUUCCAAGUUCCAUCGCAUCUCCUUCCUGUACACUUCAUCUUCUUCCUCGAUCUCAAUCGCAAUCUGAAUCAUUCUCCAGAUUCGGAUUCUCCUCUCAAUUUUGAUCUGAAUCAUGCAUAUGUAAUUUCUCGCCUCUGGUUCAUCUUCUCAUCGCCUGCGCCAUCGUCUUCUCCCUGCGCAGUCUUCUUCUCGCCGGUUCCAUCGUUUGCUCAUCCCCCCGACUUGUUUCGGAUUUUACACCGAUUCUGUUUCUGAAUUACCAAGUCCAGAGAGAACUAGACUGACGAAGAACACGACAAGUUUCUAGAAGCUCUUCAACUCUUUGGGGGCAAAGUUAGCACCUAGUAUGCUGUUAAGGGAUCACACAAAUAAUUUCGGCAGGAGCUUCUCCACCAGUUGAAACUCAUCUAUUAGGGUUGUAGCUGAAUUUUUUAAAAGUCGAAUUGUCCCAAUUUUGGAAGACUCUACUGAAGAUCUCAGCUUGAAUAAGAUCUUGGAAGGGAAAACUAGAAGGAUCUCAGCUUGCAUGUUCUAUAGCAUAUUGUGCUAUGGCAAACAAAAAAGACAAAGCUUUAAGGUCAAGCAUCUCAAUGAGAGAUAUCAUCUAUGAACAAGAAGAGCAAAUUGAAUUAGGUCCUCGUCAAUCCUGAUUAAUAUCAUCUAUGAAGAAAAGUAGAUGAUUGAAAGGUGGUUCUAUGGUUAAUAUCAUUGGUGAGCUAGAGGAUACUGCAUCAAGCCCUUCACAAACACCUUUAAUACUGCAUACUAAUGAUGACGGUAACAAGUACCGGGUUGGGACAACUUUGACGCUCUUUUGUUCCACGACCGAAGGAAAGCGCUAAGAGAUAAUGCUUCCAAUGCUACUAGCGAUGUGUAUCGGCACGCACUUCUUUUAAUGUGUCGUCUUUGUUUUUCGUAAAAUUUGAAUAUAGUAAGUAAGGCUAGCGCAGAGCGAAGUCGGAUAAUCAAAAGUGAGAAGGAAAAGAACCAACAACGAGCAAAACUCUUCAUCUCCUAACAGAUAGCGAAGAGAGGGGCUAAGGGAUCAUGAAAUCCUCUUUUUCCACCUGCGUCAAGUGAGAUGUGUGAUAGCUGGCAUGUUUACUAGCAGCUAAUUGUGCUAUGAAAGGAUUUGGGUCUCUAACGUAGAAAACGAUCGAUCAAGUCAAUGCUUCGGUUUCGGUAGGACUAGCAUACCCCAGUCGCUAGCUUUAGUAAACUAUUUAACCUCCCGAUCUGGUUGGCAGAGCGCACCAGAAGUCAAUAAAGAAGGACUCGAGAUCCCGAAAGAAGAGCGGCAUGCUCGCAUAAAUGCUAUUAUGUAGACUAGCAACUAAGAGAAAAAGGGGUCUGACAAAGUGCCUUAAAACUCAUGGUUUAAGCUAUGAGGAUCGGUUGCCAAUUAGAUUAAAUAAGCAUGGUCAACCAAUUGGAUGUAAUUGCGCCAAGUUAAGCAGUCAUUUGGGGACUUUGGUUAGAAAUGCACGCCUUGCUCCAUUGACAUACACAAGUUGGCAUGGACUUAAAGAUAACUGGAAAGAUUUGUGGGAAGCUACCAUUUGUAGGAAAAGUUUGACAUCGGAGUACUUGGUAAAGUGUGGGUUUUCAAAACUUUGGAUUUAUCUUGGAAGACAUAUAAAAGUCGGUUGAAAAAAUAGUAUUUUAAGGAAAACAUGUCACUAGCUUACAAUAUGAAGAAUUGUCCUCGUACUGUUCCACUUGAUCAUUGGAAGAUUCUUGUUCAAUUUUGGAGCCUUGAUAUGAUUAAGGAACAAAGCAAGAAUAAUAAAGCUAGUAGAGCAAAGAAUACAAGUCAACAUACAACAGGAUCAAAAACAUUUGCUGAAAUAUGUGAAGAGGAGGCAAUGAAAAAUCCUGAUAGAAGAGAACCAUUUCGGGUGAACAUGUUCUUUUUAACACACAAGCCAAGAGAUGGAAAUUCAUUGAGUGAGGGAAUAAGCAAAAUUUUUUUAGAGCUUGAGGAUGCCAUAGCUUCACAUCUUGAAAAAUUAGAAAGUACAAACCAAGAUGAUAUACUUUCCCAAGUGUUGGGGAAAGAUCAACCUGGUCGUGUCCGAACUUAUGGUAGAGGUGUUGUAGCUUUAGAUUUGUGGGGACCUAAAUCUCAAGUUGAGACAGAUAGGUUAAUUGAAGAAGUUAAAGAGAAUGCUCAAGCUGAAAUUCAGAAUAUACAACAAAAAUGCAAGAGGGGAUGGAAACAAAACUUCAAGAAAGAAUAGAAGUCAUGAAGUAACAGAUGUUGUGUGGAUUUAAUAUGUUUUUAAAUCAGCUACAAAAAAGCCUCCCAGGAGUAGAGAUUCCAAAUCUCUCUUUCAUGUCAACUACUCUAUAUGAGAAGAAAAUAGAAGCUACUGCAACAACACAUCAUAAAGUUACUAUUGCUACUGAAAAACAGGUUCUAAGUAAAUCAAAGUCAGUUAGUAGAAAUAUUCUAGAAUCAUCUACUAUUACAAAAGGUGUUUUUAAGUCUCAAGCUAAGCUAUUACCUCGAACAAAGGAGAAGAAUGUGAUUGUUUCACCUAAUCAGAAGCAUGUAUAUUUAGAACUAAAAUGAAGUUAAAAUAGCAUCUGUGAUUCAUACUUUGUAAUAAUCAUAUUGAGAU